GUUUUCGUGGUAUAAUGGCAGCACACUCGUCCCGUAUUCGAGAGGCCCAGCUUCGAAUCCCGGCGAGGGCA
rnacentral:tRNA from 1 species